rnacentral:rRNA from 1 species
AUGGACACCCGGGUGCCGCCCGUUCCCAUGGAUCCGGCGACGGCGGUGAUGUUCCGGCUCGACGGCCAGGACCCGGACGAGAUGGAAGCCCUCUUCGCCCGCGUGCUCUCCUACACCCACUACGCCCUCCCGGACCCGCCCGUCUCCGUCGACGCUCGCCUCUUCGGUCUCCUCCCCCACCACUCCGUCGACGGCUUCAGCCGCCUUCCCGACGUGCUCCUCCGCAACAUCGUCUCUCGCCUCCCAGUCAAGGAAGGCGCGCGCACCGCGGUGCUCUCCCGGCGCUGGCGCGGGGUCUGGCGCUCUGCCCCGCUCGUCCUCGUCGAUUCUCACAUCCUCCCCGCAGCCGCAGCCACCGCGGCCGCGCGUGGCGACGCGCGGCGCAUCACCUCUGCUGUGUCCCGCAUCCUCGCCGCGCACCCGGGACCCUUCCGCUGCGUCCACCUCACCAGCAGCCACAUGGAAGAGUUCCAUGGCCUGCUCACGCGCUGGCUCCGCAUCCUCGCCAACAAGGGGAUCCAGGAACUCGUCCUCGUCAAUCGCCCUUGGCCGCUCGACCUCGUUCUCCCCUCCACCUUCUUAGGCAUGACCACCCUCACCCGCCUCUACCCCGGCCUCUGGAAGUUCCCCGACACGGCCGGCAUCCCGAGCGCCACCUGUCUCCCUAACCUCCUUGAGCUCGGGCUCUGCAGCCUCAUCAUGGAGAGCAAGGAUCUGGACUUCAUCCUCGACAGGAGCCCCGUGCUGGAGACGCUUUAUAUCCAUGGUAAUCUUUUCAAGCUUAGUCUUCGCCUUGUCAGCCAAAGCCUCCGGUGCGUGAAGAUCCUCAUGUCCUCCUUUGAAGAAAUCGCUGUGGUGGACGCCCCGCGCCUUGAGAGACUCAUCCUAACAGGAUGUUGGAGCCGCGGCGGGGUUUGCACCAAGGUGAAGAUCGGUUAUGCCCCCAAGUUGCACUCGUUGGGAUACUUGGAUUCAGGAAGUCAUGACCUAGAGUUCGGCAACACCGUCAUCAAGGCUGGGACAAAGGUGAGCCCAAGCACCAUGGUACCAAGUGUGAGGGUCCUGGCUUUGGAGGUGCGUUGUGGAGUCCGCAAUGAUGUCAAGAUGAUCCCGACUGUCCUCAGAUGCUUUCCCAAUGUUGAGACGCUCCACAUCAUGUCUGGAAAAACUGGUCAACCCUCUGGCAAGCACAACCUCAAGUUCUGGAAUGAGUCUGGUACCAUAGAAUGCAUCAGCUCGCGCAUCAACCUGCUGGUUUUCCAUGAUUUCCGAGGGGAUCGGAGUGAGCUUGCUUUUCUCAAGUUUUUCUUUGAGAGUGCGCUGGUGCUGAAGCAUGUGGUGAUAGUGUUGGCCAAUGCAUGGUUCACUUCGAUGGAGGAUAUGCAUUCCAAAGUGAAUCCUCUGCGGUCCAUGAAACGGGCCAGUGCAGGCUCCAAAAUCAUGGUCACUGGGUGUUCUGAUGCUGAAGAUGGUGGCAUGGGGAACUUCAAGAGAGCACCGGGUAGUUCUAUUGGCGACCCUUUCGUGAACUUCUGA